rnacentral:rRNA from 1 species
UACGUAGGGAGCAAGCGUUGUUCGGAUUUACUGGGCGUAAAGGGCGCGUAGGCGGCAACUCAAGUCAUGUGUGAAAUCUCCGGGCUUAACUCGGAACGGUCAGAUGAUACUGUUUUGCUAGAGUGCAGAAGGGGCAAUCGGAAUUCUUGGUGUAGCGGUGAAAUGCGUAGAUAUCAAGAGGAACACCUGAGGUGAAGACGGGUUGCUGGGCUGACACUGACGCUGAGGCGCGAAAGCCAGGGGAGCAAACGGG